UACACUCCUACGGGAGGCAUCAGUGGGGAAUAUUGGACAAUGGGCGCAAGCCUGAUCCAGCCAUGCCGCGUGAGUGAUGAAGGCCCUAGGGUUGUAAAGCUCUUUCACCGGUGAAGAUAAUGACGGUAACCGGAGAAGAAGCCCCGGCUAACUUCGUGCCAGCAGCCGCGGUAAUACGAAGGGGGCUAGCGUUGUUCGGAUUUACUGGGCGUAAAGCGCACGUAGGCGGACUAUUAAGUCAGGGGUGAAAUCCCGGGGCUCAACCCCGGAACUGCCUUUGAUACUGGUAGUCUUGAGUUCGAGAGAGGUGAGUGGAAUUCCGAGUGUAGAGGUGAAAUUCGUAGAUAUUCGGAGGAACACCAGUGGCGAAGGCGGCUCACUGGCUCGAUACUGACGCUGAGGUGCGAAAGCGGGGGGAGCAAACAGGAUUAGAUACCCCAGUAGUCCCA
rnacentral:rRNA from 1 species